rnacentral:tRNA from 6 species
GCGUGGGUAGUAUAGUGGUUAGUAUGUCGCCCUUCCAAGGCGACGGCCCGGGUUCGAGUCCCGGCCCGCGCA